AAAAAUAAAACGUGUCAUUGAACAUGCAGUCAUAGAUGUUUAUUGGUAGAACUAAACUUACAAAUUCAUGUACAGGCAUUAGGACACUAAAAAGACAGAAGCAGAGCUGAAUGUAAAAUCUUUAUUGAAUUUAAUUGUCAAUAUUCCUCAUACAAUUUUUUACCUUCGUUUGCUCAAAAAUCUUUUAUUUAAAGUCACACCAGUAACCUUGAAAAGAAAGAAGAAAAAAACACAC
rnacentral:lncRNA from 1 species